AGUAUGGGAACUCUAUCCUACUUCAUUUGAUCCAUCUUGAGGUUGGUUCCUGCCUGGGAUUUUUUUGUUUUGUUUUGUUUUUGAGACAGGGUUUCUCUGUGUAGCCCUGGUUGUCCUGGAACUCACUCUGUAGACCAGGCUGGCCUCGAACUCAGAAAUAUGCCUGCCUCUGCCUCCCGAGUGCUGGGAUUAAAGGCAUGGGCCACCACUGCCUGGCCCGAAAUUAUUUUGAAUAGAGCUGCUUUGAAUGUUCUCUAGCACAUCUUUCUGUAAAUAUUGUUUUCCCCGCUCCUAGGUACAUCAUCGAGGGACAUCUUUUCCAAGUGCUGGUAUUCUUCUACACUCUCACUAUCUCUUAUUCCAUAAGCCUGAAGACAGUUGGUUCUGCUCAGUGAGUUUGUUUCUGUUCUAAUCAUUCUGGAAAACUUGAAAUACACCUCACUCCUGUGGGUUCUCCACACCCCAACACCAAAGAUCACACCCAGGGCCUUGUGCAUGCUGUACAAGUGCCAUACAUGUCCCCACUCCUCACUGUCGUUUUUAACUCUUAUAGUUUACUGCUGAGUCCUAAUGUUGAACACAGUGUCAUCUGCUUUUUAGCAUGGGUACAUUCUUUUUAAAACUUAGUGUGUGUGCACACACACACACACAUGCACACAUACCACAACCUUUGUCCAGAAGCCAGAGAACUUUAGGGAGUCAGUUUUGUUUUUUCAUUACAUGAGUCUAGGAAUUGAACUCAGAUGCUCAAGUUUGAUGGCAAGCACCUUUAUCUGCCAAACCAUUUUGCCUGCAAGAAUCAGUGCAGUGUCUUUCAAUGAUGUCUUUUAAAUAGGAGUCCUUUGACAGAUCUACAUCUUUUCUUCUUCAUUUGUUGGAGAGGAUUAUUAUGUUGUCAAGGAUUUGGAAUCACAGAUCUCCAGGCAUAUCAGGGAGGGACUAGUUAACCUCUGCGCAUGCCUGUGAGGAAUGAUAUUGAUUAAGUUAAAUAAGGUGGGAGGGCCCAUGCUGAAAGUGGGCAGCACCAUUCCCUAGGUUCGUGUCCUAGAUUGUCUAACAAGGAGACCGUGAGCUAAGCAUGAUCACCUGGUGCUUUCUGCUUCCUGACUUCAGAUGUGUUGUGACCGGCUCCCUCAAGCCUUGUCACCUGCAUGCCCUCCCCAUGAUGGAAUGUGUUCAUGAUCUGUGAGCCAGAAUAAACCCUUCUCCUUUGAGUUGCUUUUGUCAGAUUAUGUUAUCAAAACAACAGGAAAACAAACAAAGACACCAUCUUUCUAUAUAUGUUAUACAUGCUAUGUUACUAUGUUACACAUAGUAUAUGGAUAGAUAUGUAAUAUGUGUGUGUAUAUAUAUAUAUAUAUAUAUAUAUAUAUAUAUAAUUAUACAUAAUGUAUAUUUUGUCCAGGCCUCCCAUUUUACAUACUUCCUAUUAUAGUGUUACCUUUUGAAGGGCAGAAAUUUUAAUUGAAAUGAAAUUUGAUUUAUCAUUUUUUAAUGAUUAGCACUCUUUGAAUUGUGAUUGCUAGUGUAGGUGUGUACAUGGGUGUAUGUGAGUACAUAUGCAUAUAGAUUGCAUAUGCAUACGGAGGCCAGCAGUUGAAGUGGGCGUGCUUCCUGUAUCACUGUUCCCCUGUAUGUUUGAGACUCUGAUUCAGCAACACUGGCUGGCCAAUGAGGUUCAUGGCUGGGCCUGACGCUGCCCCCCAGUGCUGGGGUUACAGGAGCAUACUGUUCGUGGCUUUUACAUGGAUUCUGGGGAUUGGAACCCAGAUUCUUGUGCCUGCAUGGCAGGAACUCUACAGACUGAGCAGUCUCCCCAGGCUUAACACUGUUGUUUGUCCUGCGCAGUCUUAUCAUUUAGGCUGAGUUCUAAAACCCAAUGUGCACCAAUUUUUUGUGAGUGAAGAAAUGUGGUGGAAAGACUCAGAUAUUCAAUUCCUUGUCACUUACUCAAAACAUCGUAUCUGUACCUUCCUAUUGAGUUCUGUUGGGAGAGGGACAUCCAUCACAGGCAAACAAUGACAAUGACAAAAGUCCAAUGCCUUUCUCUAAGUUCAAGUGAGCCACUGGGAAGUUUGAAGACCUUCUUAAGGAAAUGCACACGUUUUGCAUCGCAUCGUAGGUAGCUGUCAGUGUGUGCGUGCACGUGUAUACAGUAGGUAGUUGUUAGUGUGUGCGUGCAUAUGUAUACAGUAAGAGUGAGUGUUUGUGAGUGAGGGAGGGUGUGUUCAUCUGCACAUUAACCUGGAGAAGGUAGAGGUUAAAGUCAUAUGCCCUUUAUGGUCAUUCUCCAUCUUUUUCUUUUUGGGGGGGGGGCAGGGUGUCUCCUUAGUUGACCUGGAACUCACCAAUUGCCUAGGCUGGCUGCCCAGCAAGUCCUGGGGAUACACCUGUUUCUGCUCCCCAGUUGCUGGCGUUAGAGGGACUCACUACCACAACCAGCUCUUUCCAAGGGGGCUAGGGAAUCUAAACUCACAUCUCACGUCUCACUCUUAUGCAGCUUACGCCCUGAACCAUCUUUCCAGUCCGUUUGUGUGCAGUUUAAAAACACAUACACACCACAGGCACACAUUUAUUUCGAAAGCAAGAACCCUUUCUUGCUUACAUUUCUAUCCUCACCUUUGGCACCUAGGACAAGGCUUAGCACGCUUUCAGUACUCAAUGAAAGAAUAAACAUCUGAGUUCCAGCG
rnacentral:lncRNA from 1 species